ensembl:lncRNA
AGGUCCCGGAAGCACUGCAGGAAGUGACGGUCAUUUCCACCCCCACCGCCCCCCAUCCCCCCCCGGGGCACCGCAGCCGCCCCCAUCCGCCCCCAACAGGGCCGCAGGAGCGCAGUGGGGAGCCGUGGGUGCCCGACAUGCUGAGCUCGGGGGACGAGGACCCCCCGCAGCCCCUGCUGUGGGUUUGGGUCCGGAGGAGGAGGAGGUGGAGGAGCUGCCCCAACACCGGGACGUCCUCCGGCUCCUCCUGCUCAGUUCCCAUCCCCUUCCCAUCCUUCCCACCCCCUUCCCAUCCUUCCCAUCCCCUUCCCAUCCUUCCCAUCACCAUCCCAUGGCUCCCACCCCCCUUUCUACCCUUCCCAC